rnacentral:rRNA from 1 species
GACGAACGCUGGCGGCGUGCUUAACACAUGCAAGUCGAACGGAAAGGCCCUGCUUGCAGGGUGCUCGAGUGGCGAACGGGUGAGUAACACGUGGGUGAUCUGCCCCUUACUUUGGGAUAAGCCUGGGAAACUGGGUCUAAUACUGGAUAGGACCAUGCUGUAGGUGGUGUGGUGGAAAGAUUAGUUUCGGUAAGGGAUGAGCUCGCGGCCUAUCAGCUUGUUGGUGGGGUAAUGGCCUACCAAGGCGUCGACGGGUAGCCGGCCUGAGAGGGUGGACGGCCAAAUUGGGACUGAGAUACGGCCCAGACUCCUACGGGAGGCAGCAGUGGGGAAUAUUGCACAAUGGGCGCAAGCCUGAUGCAGCGACGCCGCGUGGGGGAUGACGGCCUUCGGGUUGUAAACUCCUUUCAGCCAUGACGAAGCCCUUGUGGUGACGGUAGUGGUAGAAGAAGCACCGGCUAACUACGUG